AUACGUAGGGGGCGAGCGUUGUCCGGAAUUACUGGGCGUAAAGGGUGCGUAGGCGGCGAUGCAAGUCCAUUGUGAAAAGCCCGGGCUUAACCUGGGAGGUGCAGUGGAAACUGUAUGGCUUGAGUGCAGGAGAGGAAAGUGGAAUUCCUAGUGUAGCGGUGAAAUGCGUAGAUAUUAGGAGGAACACCAGUGGCGAAGGCGACUUUCUGGACUGUAACUGACGCUGAGGCACGAAAGCGUGGGGAGCAAACAGGAUUAGAUACCCUGGUAGUCCGCGCCGUAAACGAUGGAUACUAGGUGUAGGGGGUAUCGACCCCCCCUGUGCCGGAGUUAACACAAUAAGUAUCCCGCCUGGGGAGUACGGCCGCAAGGUUGAA
rnacentral:rRNA from 1 species